UAGAAGACAGGAAGCUGCUCCAUGUGUUCCAUGUCAGUCAUUUCCCGUUUUGAGGUUGCCCAUGGAUGGACCAGUCCCACUGGCUGGGCAACUGAGAGAUACGUGUGACUACUGGAAGUCAAGCUUUCAAGUGGAGGGGCACACCUUGUCAAUUGCUGAACGACCUCCUUUGUAAAUUGAGUGAGAGUGUGAGAUUUGCCCUGGAGCAUCUUUUCAGGUGUUCGGAAUUCUGCCACUGCCAUGACAGGAGCCUUUGGACUGAAGCUGCCCUGGGCCUGAAGUCAUCACCAGGCUGAGAGAGGCACCAGAUGGGCAAGAAGGCUACAGCUCCUGCAGGACCCAGAAAAAAUAUCUGGAUCCAGAGGAUGAAGAAUUCAUCCACCAGCCUCUGUCAGGUUGUGAAUGUGCAGUCUGUUUCUUCUGGAAGAGCCCCGGG